UGGGGAAUAUUGGACAAUGGGCGCAAGCCUGAUCCAGCAAUGCCGCGUGUGUGAAGAAGGCCUUCGGGUUGUAAAGCACUUUUAUCAGGAGCGAAACGCUGUCGGCUAAUACCCGGCGGAACUGACGGUACCUGAGGAAUAAGCACCGGCUAACUUCGUGCCAGCAGCCGCGGUAAUACGAAGGGUGCAAGCGUUAAUCGGAAUUACUGGGCGUAAAGCGUGCGUAGGCGGUUUCUUAAGUCUGCUGUGAAAUUCCCGGGCUCAACCUGGGAAUGGCAGUGGAUACUGGGAGGCUAGAGUGUGUCGGAGGGUGGUGGAAUUCCCGGUGUAGCGGUGAAAUGCGUAGAGAUCGGGAGGAACAUCAGUGGCGAAGGCGGCCACCUGGGACAACACUGACGCUGAGGCACGAAAGCGUGGGGAGCAAACAGGAUUAGAUACCCUGGUAGUCCACGCCCUAAACGAUGCGAACUGGAUGUUGGUCUCAACUCGGAGAUCAGUGUCGAAGCUAACGCGUUAAGUUCGCCGCCUGGGGAGUACGGUCGCAAGACUGAAACUUAAAUGAAUUGACGGGGUCAUAGCUGUUUCCUG
rnacentral:rRNA from 1 species